UACGGGGGGGGCAAGCGUUGUUCGGAAUUACCGGGCGUAAAGGGCUCGUAGGUGGCCAACUAAGUCAGACGUGAAAUCCCUCGGCUUAACCGGGGAACUGCGUCUGAUACUGGAUGGCUAGAGUUUGGGAGAGGGAUGCGGAAUUCCAGGUGUAGCGGUGAAAUGCGUAGAUAUCUGGAGGAACACCGGUGGCGAAGGCGGCAUCCUGGACCAACACUGACGCUGAGGAGCGAAAGCCAGGGGAGCAAACGGG
rnacentral:rRNA from 1 species